UGCUGCUGUUUUAGGAGGUGAGUGGUAGCCUCGAGGAAGGCUGCCAUCCCCGAGGCUGCAAGGACAGGGACCUAAAGGAGGAGAAGAUAAUAGGUAAGACAUGCUUUGCCCGUUUCCGUUAUCUAGAGGACCAGAUUCCUUUAAAAACUUUUUUCCUCCUGUAUGAUCCUAUUAUGUAUUCCAGGUAUGAGUGAAACCCGAAGUCAGAGUCUAAUUUGUGUAGUCCUUCAUGUCUGUAACUUGUACUUAGAAAGUUCUAUGCAGGAAGGAAAGGGAAAAGAAUGAACAGUUAACUCUCAAAGGAAGUGAAUUGAUCGCGCAAGCACGCACACACCGCCUGUGAGUUAACCGUCCAGGGUGCAAGUGACAACCUCAGCCUCAGUCCGUCUCGCGGGGCCAGUGCAGCAGCAUGGGGUUGUUGCUGACUUUGGGGGGAUCAUGUUGCCCCACUCCGGCCCAGGCUGACUGCCACUGUCUCGUGACGGUCCACGCAGCCUGCGGUGCUCACCCGGCAGAACCUCUGCUACCUCUGCAGGAACGGGAGCCAAGUACUUGCGGGGCGGCCUCUACUGCAUAAACACGGCUGCUCUCGGGAGUGUGGGAGGUCCUGAGUUCACAUUGCAGCUGGAACCCUGUGCCAUUUCUCCUGACAUCUGGACAGACGUGAGCAUGGGGAGGCCCAGCAGGAAGUGCUCUUUAUUGACGUCAGGCAGGGAAGGAGAAAUCACAGAAGAAGCCGCCGUGUCCCAGUUAGCAUGUCACAUAAUAUGCAGCAGUGGCUUCAGUGGCUUUAAAACAUCAGAAAACUGACUUGGAUUGAGUGCUCCUCCACAUUUGGCAGGCUGAGAGUACAAGGGACAUAAAAACACCACAUUCGACACCAGCUAGGAGGAGAGUGCAUCAGACUUCAGGGGGCAUUUUGACGUCCAGGGCUAUGAAAGGAUGCUCUCACAAGCCCAGAUAGCUGCCUGCACAGGUUUCCAAAACCCGUACCAGUGCUGUCUGAUGGUGACAGCAGCAGUGUGGCUCUGGGCGUGGAAUGGGGCACUGCUGUCUUCCAAACCAUCGUAACCAGAUCAUGAGCAUGCUGGUGGGCCAUGGUGGGACUGGACAAGCCUUUACCUUCCUGGACACCUCUUCCCUGGUAAAAUGACAUGAUCAAUGUCAGUGGAUUUAGAGAGCAUGUCUGUCAUAAAGAUUUUCCUGUAGGCUGGCUCAUUAAAUUGAAGGGGGUCCCUGUGGUCACUUUCAACAUCAAAC
rnacentral:lncRNA from 1 species